UAACUUUCCGCUAUUUUGCCCCUUCCUUUUCCCUUCUCCACGAAAAGGAGCCGCGCAUGGGCUUCUUCGAUAUAUCCCACGGUCGAAUCCAACGCGCGCUCACAGAUUCCUCCCGAAACCCUCCCACUUCUCCUCUUCCUCCUCCUUCUUCUUCUUCUUCGCUGAAACCCUAGAGAGAGAGAGGGGGGGCGAAGAGUUUUGGUGCUCUCGGUUGGGGAUAGCGUCGAUCCCUUGCUCGAUCGUCGAAGUAUAUGCGCUCGAAGUCGAUCGAGCGGAAGCUGGAACCGAGAUCGGGAAUCGGCGCGGCGUUGGGCUCGAUCGCCGGGUUGUUCGGAUGAGGGGAUGGUCAGAUCCUCCGCGCUGAUGAAGAUCGUGAGCCCCUGUUGGAAGCCCUCGCCGGAGGCCGACUCCGGCAGCGGCGGCGGCGGAGGCAGGGCCGAUGGGCUCUUGUGGUACAAGGAUCUGGGCCGCCACGCCGGCGGCGAGUUCUCGAUGGCGGUGGUGCAGGCGAACAACCUGUUGGAGGACGGGAGCCAGAUCGAGUCGGGGCCGCUGAGCUUCGGCGGUGCGAAUUCGCCGCACGGGACGUUCGUCGGGAUCUAUGAUGGGCACGGUGGCCCGGAGACUUCGCGAUACAUCGCCGACAAUCUCUUCCGGCAUCUUAAAAAAUUUGCUACAGAGCAGCACGGCAUGUCGGUGGAUGUAAUAAGAAAAGCAUUCACUGCGAUCGAAGAGGGCUUUAUCUCUCUUGUGAGAAAGCAGUGGUUCAGUAAGCCGCAAAUCGCUUCUGUUGGCUCAUGUUGUUUGGUGGGCGUUAUUUGUGGCGGGAUUCUUUAUGUUGCGAAUGUCGGUGAUUCUCGUGCUGUUCUAGGGAGAGUGGAAAGAGGUAUUAGGGAGGUCUCAGCUGUACAAAUCUCAGAGGAGCACAAUGUGAGCAUCGAAUCUGUGAGAGAGGAAGUGCGCUCUUUGCACCCAGAUGAUCCGCAUAUUGUGGUUCUAAAACACAAGGUCUGGCGUGUGAAGGGCCUCAUACAGAUUUCCAGAUCUAUUGGAGAUGCUUAUCUUAAAAAUGCAGAAUUUAACCGAGAACCUCUAUUAUCAAGGUUCCGGCUUCCCCAGCCCUUCCAUAAAUCAAUACUUAGUGCUGAGCCGUCAAUAGUAACGCAUAAACUCAGUCCAGAAGAUCAAUUCGUGAUACUUGCCUCAGAUGGUCUAUGGGAGCACUUAAGCAAUCAAGAGGCCGUCGAUAUAGUUAACAGCUCGCCCAGAAAUGGAAUCGCAAGGAGACUUGUAAAAGCUGCGAUUCAGGAGGCAGCAAAGAAAAGAGAAAUGAGAUACUCCGACCUGAAAAAGAUUGGUCGAGGGGUUAGGAGACAUUUUCACGAUGACAUAACCGUAAUUGUUCUAUUUCUCAACCCUACAUCUAUGACUAAGAACUACUACAACAACUCCGUGCUUUCGCUGAGAGGAGGUGGUGUUCCUACACACACACCAUAUUCCUGAAGAUUGAUUAACAUCGAUUGCUUAGUAUCGUACGAAGAAGAAUAAUUCUCUUCUUAUUGGACUCGAAAUAGAUGCAAUUAGCAAGUAUUGGAUUUGCCAUUGCCUGGGUUUCAUCCUUCUGAGCUUGGGUGGGGAGUGACAACCGGGAGAAUGAAACUAUCAGUGUGGCUUUGUUCAAAAUUUCAUGUUUCGAAUGUACUGUUGUGAGAAAAUGUUCUUCUGAUCACGAGAAGGCGGAGACGCCCGCAGCUUUUUCGACUGUAAAGAAUCUGCUGUCCUAUUAUUUCUUUCUUUCUUUCGUUCGGGUGUGAUACACAUUCUACACCUACCCUGUAAAGAGAUCCCAUUUUUGAGACCAUUCUCUGUCAUAUUAAUGUUACUUAUUACUAGUAUGUUGUGUUUAAAUUUGUUUGUUAACAUGUAAUCCACUUAUGGAAAUUAUCCCUC